rnacentral:rRNA from 1 species
UACAGAGGGGGCAAGCGUUAUUCGGAAUUAUUGGGCGUAAAGGGCGCGUAGGCGGCUUUGCAAGUGGCGGGUGAAAUCCCUCGGCUUAACCGAGGAACUGCCUGCCAGACUGUGAGGCUUGAGACCGGGAGAGGUGAGUGGAAUUCCCAGUGUAGCGGUGAAAUGCGUAGAUAUUGGGAGGAACACCAGUGGCGAAGGCGGCUUUCUGGUCUGUAACUGACGCUGAGGCGCGAAAGCGUGGGGAGCAAACAGG